UCACAUCGACGGCGGUGUUUGGCACCUCGAUGUCGGCUCAUCACAUCCUGGGGCUGAAGCCGGUCCCAAGGGUAUGGCUGUUCGCCAUUUAAAGUGGUACGCGAGCUGGGUUUAGAACGUCGUGAGACAGUUCGGUCCCUAUCUGCCGUGGGCGCAGGAGAUUUGAGAAGAGUUGCUCCUAGUACGAGAGGACCGGAGUGAACGAACCUCUGGUGUUCGGGUUGUGUCGCCAGACGCAUUGCCCGGUAGCUACGUUCGGACAGGAUAACCGCUGAAAGCAUCUAAGCGGGAAGCCUCCUUCGAGAAGAGAUCUCCCUUAGGACUUGAUCCUACUGAAGUGCCGUUCAAGACGAGGACGUUGAUAGGUUGGGUGUGUAAGUGCCGUGAGGCAUUGAGCUAACCAAUACUAAUUGCACGUGAGGCUUGACCAUAUAA
rnacentral:rRNA from 1 species